rnacentral:rRNA from 1 species
UACGGAGGGUGCGAGCGUUGUCCGGAAUCACUGGGCGUAAAGGGCGCGUAGGCGGCCUGAUAAGUAGGGGGUGAAAUCCUGCGGCUUAACCGCAGGGCUGCCUUCUAAACUGUCAGGCUAGAGCACAGUAGAGGCAGGUGGAAUUCCCGGUGUAGCGGUGGAAUGCGUAGAUAUACGGAGGAACACCUGCGGCGAAGGCGGGUAGCUGGGCCAACACUGACGCUGGAUGCGCGAAAGCUAGGGGAGCAAACGGG